ACGCACGCUGGCGGCGUGCCUAAUACAUGCAAGUUGAGCGCUGAAGGUUGGUACUUGUACCAACUGGAUGAGCAGCGAACGGGUGAGUAACGCGUGGGGAAUCUGCCUUUGAGCGGGGGACAACAUUUGGAAACGAAUGCUAAUACCGCAUAAAAACUUUAAACACAAGUUUUAAGUUUGAAAGAUGCAAUUGCAUCACUCAAAGAUGAUCCCGCGUUGUAUUAGCUAGUUGGUGAGGUAAAGGCUCACCAAGGCGAUGAUACAUAGCCGACCUGAGAGGGUGAUCGGCCACAUUGGGACUGAGACACGGCCCAAACUCCUACGGGAGGCAGCAGUAGGGAAUCUUCGGCAAUGGACGAAAGUCUGACCGAGCAACGCCGCGUGAGUGAAGAAGGUUGUCGGAUCGUAAAACUCUGUUGGUAGAGAAGAACGUUGGUGAGAGUGGAAAGCUCAUCAAGUGACGGUAACUACCCAGAAAGGGACGGCUAACUACGUG
rnacentral:rRNA from 1 species